AAAACAAAUGAGAAACUUCUUGAUAAUAAUUAAGAAAUAUAUCUGCAAUUGAAAUUCUUACUACUCGGACGAAAACAGAUAUUAAUUACUCUUCCCCUUCAAACGGAAUAAGGUUUUCUUUAAGAUUUAGUAUCUUACAAAAUCUUUUUGUUUUAAAACCAAGUUCCUCAGCCGUUUGGGUAUUUAAGUUGACCGAAACCAGUCCACCAUCU
rnacentral:lncRNA from 1 species